rnacentral:rRNA from 1 species
GACGAACGCUGGCGGCGUGCUUAACACAUGCAAGUCGAACGGAGAGGCCCGGCGUUUGUUGGUUUCUCGAGUGGCGAAAAGGGGAGUAACACGUGAGUAACCUGCCCUUUAGUGUGGGGUAAAUUCAUGGAACUGGGCCUAAUACCGGAUAGAAGCUCCCGCUCCAGGGUGGGGGUGGGAAAGAUUCGUCGGUUGGGUAUGGACUCGCGGCUUAUCAGCUUGUUUGGUGGGUGGUGUAUUACCAAGGCAUGGACGGGUAGGCGGGCUGAGAGGGUGACCUGCCACACUGGGACUGAACUACGGCACAGCCUCGUACGGGAGGCAGCAGUGGGGUAUAUUGUACAAUGGGCGGAAGCAUGCUGUAGUAACGCCGCGUGCCGUAUGAGGGCAUGCGGGUUGUAUUCCGCUUUCGUCUGUGACGAAGCGUGAGUGACGGUAAUGGGUAAAGAAGCACCGGCUAACUACGUG